rnacentral:lncRNA from 1 species
GUGCUAGCCCCCGCGCGGGUGCCCGCGUCCCGGCCCGGAAGAGAGGCGGGACGACGGCGCGUCCUCUCCCCGCAAGAUUACCUCGCAGCGCGUAGCCGGCUUUGUGUUUCCCCUCCCUCCUUCUCGGCAGCCGCCCGGGCUGCAGCAGCCGCCGGAUCCGCCGCUGCGGCCGCCUCUUAAGCGCCGCAGAGCCCCAGAGGGUGUGGAUUCUGCAAUGCUGCACAGAAACCUACUGCAGCCUCAGACCAACAGCAGCAGCAGCAGCGGCGGCGGCGGCAGCAGCAGCAGCAGCAUUAGCAGCAGCAGCUUCUCUCAAUGCUGAGUAACUGUCAUUGUGAAGGGGUCCUUCAGAAGGAUUCAUCAUGUGAAGAAAAAUGGCUACCUAAGUGCAGGGAUUUCAAGGGCAGCAACAGCCUUCUCUGACUAUAUCUCCAAAGUAUCCCUAUUUACAGUUGAAUACAGAUAAUCAUGAGGCCCAAGACCCUAAGGAACAGUGCAGCCAGGAGUCGGAAGGAGCCUGGGUUUCUGAAUCAUCACAUGGAGGGGAGCUGUCUUCAGCUGGGAGAGCUGUCUUCAGUUGGAUACUGGAUGGAGUCUCACUCUGUCACCCAGGCUGGAGUGCAGUGGUGCAGUUUCGGCUCACUGCAACCUCCGCCUCCCAGGUUCAAGCCAUUCUCCUGCCUCAGCCUCCCGAGUAGCUGGGAUUACAGGAGGAAGAAAGGGAGCUGGUUAGGAAGCAAACUUGAGUUUCCCAUGCUCUGUGGCUGAGCAAGUCACUUCACCAUUCUCAGGAUGGAAGUGGGGAUGGAGGUGGCAUCGGCCUCAUUUGAACCACAUGGACUAAGAGGGGCUAUGGGAGUAUUCCCCAAAGGAAGACUGAGGGGCGUUACUAGAAAAUGGGAGAAUGGAAGCAGAGUGGGCAAAACCAACAGAUGUUCCCUAUAGUAAAUAAAAAAUUUGGACAAUUAUUAGUGAGCAAGUACUUAUAACAUAUAUGGCACAUGGGAUUGUGACUCACCAGUGUGUUAGCACAAUAUGGUCAAAAACCUCUGAUCCAAUUCAACCUACUCAUCUUAACGAUUUUAUCAGCAUUUAAUAAGUUUGUUUUGGCCAUCAUGUGUUAUAGUUUUGUUUGUGGUUUUGACACCUCAUUAGAGGUUUCAUCAGUGUAAGGAGCCAACCUAAGAGCUCUUCUCACAAGUUUCCCAAGAGAGAAAUUGCCCCUCCAAAUGUGAGGAGUCUCACUUUAUAUAGAUAGCAUCCACACUUCUUGCAGUGGAAAACAAACCUUAUAAAAUGUAAUACGUUUGGUUUCCUAACUUUUUCAUGACCCUGGGGUGGUAGAAGGAAGUGCAAGUUUUAUCACUUGGAUUUAGAGACAAGGAAAUUGAAAUGGAGAGAGAAUUGGGCUCACAUGCAGGCAGCAUGUCUAGCUGCCUCCAUCGUGUGAUCUGAGGCACCCCAUGAGGCCUAUGAUUACUGUAAACCUCUAAAAUAAAUAAAAAAUAAAACAAUCUCU